GGAAUAUUCCACUGUGGAUUUCGUCGUGCCUAGUACACUUUUCCUUCGUGCACAUAACUCAAUUCUUCACAGACGACAGACCGCAAUUGAAUCAAUGUCAUAAGCAUCUACAAUUUAUAAGCGCAACAUCUCUACACCCCAGUCAGGCCCACCACAUGUAGUCCACUAUUUUACUCAGCGCUAACUUUCUACAAAUUUUUUUGACUAUGCGCACAACCCCAACUAAAGCUAAAAUCGAUAACACGAUGGAUAUGGGUAUUCACUUGAGAAUAGCGCACAUUUGCUCAAUAUAUAUAGCCUUACAUCAAAUUGUAUGCAAUUAAACACAAUGUCAUGCUUAAUGUCGUUUACCCAACACUUGAAAAGCAACGAUAGCGCAGUUGGAAAAUGUUAAUGGGUACAUUCAUACAUACAAAUAUAUUGCUUUAGAAAGCCAUGCGUAUAAAUAUAGUAUAUGUAUAUACAAAAUUGUGUUAGUACACAAUGGCUUACUUAUUUCUCAUACAGUGGUUUUUGUACACGCUUAAAGUCGCCCGGGCGGUUCGUAUGCACGAUAGAAAUGCAGAGCGUAACUAUAUAAUCGAAAUAUAUGCACAUAAGAGCGGAUAUUUUACAAUAUUUAUUUAAGUGCCAAACCAUUUGGCAAAUCAUACGAUGACUAAUACGCAUUUCAAAUGACUAACGACGGCAAAAAUAAGCGGAAACAAGAAUAAUUGUUCAUUAGUUUUCAUAGAAAUUCGUUUCUUACCUCGAUAUUUACUUAAGCAAACAAGGAAUGUGAUAGCGGUACGGCUGAGACGAAUGCGCACGAAUUCAAACGAAACGAACCCAGCCCGAAGCGAGCGCAUGAACAUGAACUAAUACCAACAUAUACAUAUAUACAUAAAUAUUUAUAUAUGUGUAUAAAUACGUGUAUAAUAACUAUAUACCGCAAGUAAAUGCAAUGUGAGUGAGAAAAAUUGAUAUAGAAGUCGCUCACUAUAUAAAACAUACACAAACACAUAAACGUGAAUACCUGAGAGGAGCGCAUAUUGUGUUUUCUAUGCCACGCAACACACACAGUAUACGAUAAAAAUCACCCGACAGGCAAGUAAAGGUGUGUACGUGUAGACAAAGUUGAAUUUCCAUAUCUACACAUGUGGGCAACAUAUGCUUGCAACGAAGCGCCUGAAGUCGGGAAACACGACACGAUACAAGCGACGAGUGGGAAUAUGAAUAGCAUGAGAAACGCUACAACCAGUUUUCAAAGCAUGAAUACAUUAUGAUUGUGUUUGUGUGUUUUUAUGAUUGGAUUUAAAGUAGUUUUGUACAGUGGUGCAGAUUGAGGAAUAUUUCGAAUUGGUAGGUAGCAGAAGUGAUUGUGAGACUUGUUUUUUAUUAUAUUGGGGAUGAAAAUAAAGAAAAAUAAUAGUGAGAUGCAACUCAUUAGAAAUAGAAAAUAAUAUAACAAAAAUCAAAGAAAAAUAUUUUACGAACGAUUUGAGGUGAAAAAGGGUUUAACUCGAUUUCUGGUAAAAUUUUAUGUGUUCAAGUUAUAGUUAAUAAAAGCUUACAAUUUUUG